rnacentral:rRNA from 1 species
AUUUAACGCUGGCGGCAGGCCUAACACAUGCAAGUCGAGCGGAGCGGCAGACGGGUAAGUAAGGCCUAGGAAUCUGCCUGGUAGAGGGGGAUAACGUCCGGCAACGGGCGAUAAUACCAAAUACUAUCAGAUGAGCCUAGGUUGGAUUAGCUAGUUGGUGGGGUAAAGGCCUACCACGGCGACGAUCCGUAACUGGUCUGAGAGGAUGAUCAGUCACACUGGAACUGAGACACGGUCCAGACUCCUACGGGAGGCAGCAGUGGGGAAUAUUGGACAAUGGGCGAAAGCCUGAUCCAGCCAUGCCGCGUGUGUGAAGAAGGUCUUCGGAUUGUAAAGCACUUUAAGUUGGGAGGCGUUACCAACAGAAUAAGCACCGGCUAACUUCGUGCCAGCAGCCGCGGUAAUAC